GGGUGAUGGGCCGCAGAGACCAGGGAGGAUCGACUGUUUACUAAAAACACAGGUCCGUGCGAAGUCGCAAGACGAUGUAUACGGACUGACGCCUGCCCGGUGCUGGAAGGUUAAGAGGACGGGUCAGCCGUGAGGCGAAGCUCAGAAUUUAAGCCCCAGUAAACGGCGGUGGUAACUAUAACCAUCCUAAGGUAGCGAAAUUCCUUGUCGGGUAAGUUCCGACCUGCACGAAUGGCGUAACGAAUCCUCCACUGUCUCAACCGUGAACUCGGCGAAAUUGCAUUACGAGUAAAGAUGCUCGUUACGCGCAGAAGGACGGAAAGACCCCGGGACCUUCACUAUAGCUUGGUAUUGGUGAUCGGGACGGCUUGUGUAGGAUAGGUGGGAGACUGUGAAGUGGCCGCGCCAGCGGUUGUGGAGUCAUCGUUGAAAUACCACUCUGGUCGUUCUGGUUGUCUAACUUCGGUCCGUGAUCCGGAUCAGGGACAGUGCCUGGUGGGUAGUUUAACUGGGGCGGUUGCCUCCCAAAAAGUAACGGAGGCGCUCAAAGGUUCCCUCAGCCUGGUUGGCAAUCAGGUGUCGAGUGCAAGUGCACAAGGGAGCUUGACUGCGAGACAGACAUGUCGAGCAGGGACGAAAGUCGGAACUAGUGACCCGACGGUGGCAUGUGGAAGCGCCGUCGCUCAACGGAUAAAAGGUACCCCGGGGAUAACAGGCUGAUCUUCCCCAAGAGUCCAUAUCGACGGGAUGGUUUGGCACCUCGAUGUCGGCUCGUCGCAUCCUGGGGGUGGAGUCGCUCCCAAGGGUUGGGCUGUUCGCCCAUUAAAGCGGUACGCGAGCUGGGUUUAGAACGUCGUGAGACAGUUCGGUCCCUAUCCUCUGUGCGCGUAGGAAACUUGAGAAGGGCUGCCCCUAGUACGAGAGGACCGGGGUGGACGAACCACUGGUGUGUCAGUUGUCCUGCCAAGGGCACCGCUGAUUGGCUACGUUCGGAAGUGAUAACCGCUGAAAGCAUCUAAGCGGGAAGCACGCUUCAAGAUGAGGUUUCCAACCCGCUUGCGGGUGAAGGCCCCCAGUAGACCACUGGGUUGAUAGGCCAGAUGUGGAAGCACAGUAAUGUGUGGAGCUGACUGGUACUAAUAGGCCAACAACCUGACUAA
rnacentral:rRNA from 1 species